AUUGAACGCUGGCGGCAGGCCUAACACAUGCAAGUCGAACGAGUGGCGGACGGGUGAGUAAUGUCUGGGAAACUGCCUGAUGGAGGGGGAUAACUACUGGAAACGGAAGCUAAUACCGCAUACCAUCAGAUGUGCCCAGAUGGGAGUAGCUUGUUGGUGGGGUAACGGCUCACCAAGGCGGAGAUCCCUAGCUGGUCUGAGAGGAUGACCAGCCACACUGGAACUGAGACACGGUCCAGACUCCUACGGGAGGCAGCAGUGGGGAAUAUGGGACAAUGGGCGAAAGCCUGAUGCAGCCAUGCCGCGUGUAUGAAGAAGGCCUUCGGGUUGUAAAGUGCGUUCAGCGGGGAGGCGGUACCCGCAGAGGAAGCACCGGCUAACUCCGUGCCAGCAGCCGCGGUAAUUC
rnacentral:rRNA from 1 species